GAUGAACGCUAGCGGCAGGCUUAAUACAUGCAAGUCGAGGGGCAGCACGAAUAGCAAUAUUUGGUGGCGACCGGCGCACGGGUGCGUAACACGUAUACAACCUACCUAUAACAGGGGGAUAGCCUUUCGAAAGAGAGAUUAAUACCCCGUAAUAAAUUGAGUGGCAUCACUUGAUUUUGAAAGCUACGGCGGUUAUAGAUGGGUAUGCGUCUGAUUAGCUAGUUGGUGAGGUAACGGCUCACCAAGGCGACGAUCAGUAGGGGAUCUGAGAGGACUAACCCCCACACUGGUACUGAGACACGGACCAGACUCCUACGGGAGGCAGCAGUAAGGAAUAUGGUCAAUGGGGGCAACUCUGAACCAGCCAUGCCGCGUGCAGGAUGACGGCCCUAUGGGUUGUAAACUGCUUUUGUAUCAGAGAAAACCUACUCACGUGUGAGUAGCUG
rnacentral:rRNA from 1 species